CCUCUCCUGCAUGGUGCUUUUCACUGUAAGGUGGGAGCUAUCGUGAGAGUAAGGACCAGCCUCCCCCCCCACACACAACAUACCCCAAAUAAGGGGAACCAGGAUUGGCAAAAGCUUGGCAAGACUUUCAGAGCAACAUUUUGAAGAUCCUUUUUUUUUCAUGAAUCUUCCCUUAAAAAUAAUAAUAAAAAAAAGCCAACUCCCAGCAAAAUUGUUUAACUAUAGAAUUUAAACACAAUACUAGUAGAAAUGAAUAAUAUUACUUGCCUUCUUCAAAUUAUGCCAACUCUAACAUUGACAAUUGCUUAGCUAUUUGUACGAGUUAAUUUGUGCCGUGAAUCUGUGAGAAGUAAUACACCUGAUACAACUGCACUCUGAAAAACCUUCAUAUUUUAAUUGGAAAAAUCUCGAUAUUCACUGAGGAACAAUCUAACCUUGGAAAACAAUCUUUUCCCAAUUUGUCUUUAAUGCAUAAAACACUGCUCAUUUUCUGCAGCUCUGUCACCAAGGGGCACAUUAAUUUAGUUGCACAAUAAUUUAAUACAUCGAUACAUUGAUUGAAGCAGAGAGUUUUUAUUUAGCAGUUCCAAGAAAUAACACAUUUCUUGCAAAAUCUUUAAAAAGACACUUCUUGCUGCAGUUUAAGUAGGGGGAAUCGCAGAUCAUUAGGGGAAGUUGCCCUUCAAAGCCAAUUGAUCGUUCCAUACUGAGCACAGUGGGCAUUACAUCAGAACAGAGUGAAGACUGGCAGGAGGCAAUUAAUGGGGCAGAUACUGGAGUGUCUUUUCUGAUUACCCCAUACUGUACAGUGGAUUUGGCCUCGCUGAGACAGGCUGGUAGAAACAAGAACCCUAAUGAGAUAUGGCUCUGCUAAUGUCAAGAAGUGCCACUUCCUAGCAGCAGGAGCAACUUUAUUGAAACCAUCUGUUGUUUUGGAAGAUGCAUAUGCGCACACACACACAUUUCCUCCUCCCAGAGUGUUUAACCUUUCUUUUAAGGCUGACUGAAAUCGUACAGCUAAUCCCUCCUUAAUCUCAGAAUGACAGGCCCUACUGUUUUCAGCAAGUCCCAGCAGCUACUGAAAACCUGGAUGACUGGUGGUGUUUAAAUGACGUGACAGUGAUGCAUUCUGGAACAGUCACUUUGGAACAGAGUACCCAUUCAUCCACUGUCAUCACAGCUUUGCGAGGCUUGGGUACCUGCACAGAGAUGAGAAAUUUGUACUGCACUGGAUCUGCUCAGCACAGUAGUUUUUUUUCUAUGUAAAAAAGAGCUAGAAUAUGGAAAAGACAAUCUCUGGAGCCACAGCUGGAAGGAACAUCUCUCUCUCCAUCAUACUUUCAACCUGAAGAACACAGGCAGACGGAUGAUGCUGGCAUUACAAGUUUUCAAUAAAGAGUCGUGAACCAAGGCAUGCACACAUUAUACAUGUAACAGACAUGAUCGUGUGAAAGCUGGAGCUGUCAUUCCAGCAACACGUCAGCGUGAGCUGUGGACUGGUUCUUGGCAACUGUGUACAACAGAAAGAGCUGCAGUUCCAAGAGAAGAGGAACAAACAGUAUCACGAGAAGGAAAAAAGAGAUCACCUGGUGUGUCAGAGGAGGGUUUGCAAAGAAAAGGCAUUGAAAAAUGGAACAACUGAGCAGGAGUGCCUGCAGAGAUGGGAGGAUUUUUUUCCUACAGCAGUGAUCUCACUCCAGUCUCUCUUCCACCAACUAAGCCCACAGAGCUCUCUGCACACAUGGAUGUUAGUGUUAAAUCUGUCAGCACAGCAACCCAAACAUCCUCCCUUUCAGGAAGAUGCUCUUGCCCACAGGCCUUGGCUGCUGCAUGCCAAUGAUUUUAGUUCACUCAGACAGAAGAGGCUGCUGCAGAUCCCCAGAGAACCAUGUUAUCUAUGCAGUACCAUCCUGGACAGAAGGAGCUCCCAAGCUGCUGUCAGCCACCUGCCUCUUACUGGCAUCCCAUCGGCUGCAGGAGUUGGAGGUGACACUCCAGAGAAUAUCUGUAUUUUGCCUUGCCUCUGAAGAGCCUGAAGAAUCUUUUCCCUUCACUGGGCUUACUUUUUGGUGGCACUAGAUUGAUCUACUCAACAGUUCCUGUAUUAAUGUCCCACCAUGCUUUCAGAGAUGGUGACUGUGCCGACACACAUCCUCCAGACAUUCUCAUCAGCUUUGCUUGCAGAUCUCUGUGCUCAGUAACCAGGGCCAGCACUGACUGCUGGCAAAUGACCUUAUCUGAACCUCUUCAAAAGAUCAUUAUCUCCAAGUGCCUCUUGGCACUGCUUCCUGCAGGACACUGGCUCUGUCAUUAGGUUUUGCAGCAGCUCCUUAGCCAACAGCCAUAAUUCUGCUCUGUUUGGGAUGGCACUGUCCACAUUGACUGGGAUUUACUGCUUCUGUUCAGACAGAACAAAACGUUUCCUCACAACAGGUUGAAAUAUCAAACGCCAGUGGGGUGACCUGCGUAUUUGGCUUUCAGCAGCUCUCAGAGCACUGACCUGGAUGCAACAAGCCACGUAAAGACCACAAAUCAGAACCUGUAGCAACAAGCAAGACAUGUAUUUGAACAAAUUGAAACAAGCGAAAACCUAACAACCAAACACACGAAAACCUACACUUCCCUGCCAGCCCACUUCACAACAGGGCGGGCUGACAGGCUCAAAAUGGCACCAACUUCCCAAGAGGAACUUGUGGUCCUGUUAAAAUUCAAACAGAAAUAUGUUGGUUUUGGUAGACUGCAUUCUAAGAGAUACCAUGAGUUACAUUUGAGGGUAGAUGCUGUCUUUUGUAAUAUUUUUAAGGAAGCUUACAUACCCAUAUACACACCACUGGAUUCCAAAGUAUAGCUUGACGUAUAUAUGUUAUAUGUAUAUAAUACAUGUAUGUAUUUCCCUUCAGAAACUUUGCCUGGCUAAUAUACCUGGUCUCUGCUCAUCACAACAAUUCUACUAUUUGAUAGUCUCCACUUUUAUUCAGUAUUUUGUAUCAUUAAUGCAAUUCUUCACUUUUAAUCUUUGAGAUUUUAAGAAAAAAUACAAUAAACAAAACACACAUAACAUUUGCUGCUUUGCAUUACCCCAGAAUGGAAGCAGAGCAAAGGAAGCCCAAGUCCUGCAUCUUCUGAGGUUAGCAUUGCCCUCUCACUCUGCUCCAAGCCAGAUCUUCAGCUUUUACCACCAUCCUGUUGAUUCUGAGGCUAUUUCAUAUCUGCAGCUGUGCAAUACAGCAUCACUAGAGAGCCAUAACAGAGCUCUGCUGUUUUACACUGCUGGAGCAUCCCAUCCUAAAGACAGAGCUCAGAAACACUCCAGCAGGUAAUGAACACAGUCCCAUUUCUAACCAGCAAUAUUCGUUUCAAAGCCAGGAUCUUUGAAACUCCCUGUGCUGCCACGCAUUACCUGCCAAACCCCACACUUGCAGACUGGAACAACACCAGAAGAGCUUAUUAGAGCUAGUCGGUAAAUAACAUGGGAUGAAAACAAAUUUGGUAGUAAAAGGACCCUUGAGAAAUUAGGGAGAAAGCUCUAUAGCCUUUCAACUUAUUCGUGAUUUACUAGAAAGCUGUAUAAUAUAGCGAGCUUGAGAACUAGCUAACAUGCUUCUAAGGCCAAAAUAUCCCAAUUUGAAUAGCUAAGUUGUAUACUGAAAGCCUGAGGAACUGUUUAAAGUAAGCUAAGAAGAAAGCCAACAUUCUCCCUUCCCCCCCAGCUCCAAAACUUCAAUUGAAAAAAGCAACAAAAAUGCUAAUCUUCUGUGGUUAAGCAGAAAGGCUUAAAAAGUGUCUAACAAACACUAUGAAUUAUUCAGGGACAAGGUUACUGCUAUUCUACACACAUCGCUUCAUAAUGCGAGUUCCAAGCCACAGAAGAAAAAUCAUUUCUGUGAAUGCUACUGUGAUAAAAUAAAUUCAGAUGAACUCCUUUAAUUGCAGCAACAUAAUAUAUCCUUUCUGCAUCUGUAAAGAUCUGUAACUUUAAAUUUGGAGGGCCCGAUCCCAAUCUAAAUUAAACAGGUUUUAUAUACAACAAAACUCAAGCAGGACAAGUAUUCCUUUACUACAUCUAGUUGAAGUCAGAAACAGCCCCAUUUUUUUUCAAACUAAUAUUGGCCAACCAUCUGGGAGUGCUUCAGAAUCAUGAGCUAACUUAAAGCUUCCAUGGUUGCAAUCAUCACCACCUUCCACAAAUUCGGAAGAAACCUUGUCUCCUUGCAGGCUGAAAUUUACCCCAAUUGCUUUCUGUACUGCUGCUGAAGAUGGUCAGGUUGGAGUAAACUUGCUCAGUGCCUGGCCGUGCUAUCGAAGUGCUCCAAUAGCAGAAUAUCAAUGGACAGGCCAGCCAGUGGCCCUGCUAAACCGGGGAUCUAGACAAGCAAUAGCUCUGGGGGCUGCAAGGCAGGCAGAGCAGGCUGGGUGCAGUGCCUGGACAGGAGAUUCCAGCAGCACCACAAGCAGCAUGUGAUGCACUUGUCACAGCCACCACAGGUCAUCAGAGUCCUGGGAAAGCUUGAAAAUGUAUAUCACAUGCGUAUACAUGACACAUAUCUUUAGUAAGAAAAGGGAAAGAGGAACAAGCAGGCUUGUGGCCGUCCAGAGAGCCCAUUUCAGAGCUGAGUAACCAGAACCACUGCCCACAUCAGAGACCACAGAAGGGAAGCUGUGAGUUAAGCUCGCUGUGCAUAGCUGGAACAAGGAAAGGCGCAUGCAGCCUCCACAAGCCUACCAGUGACCCAGCUUCCCGCCUGGACUCUUGCUGAGAGAUGCUCACAUGCCUUUGGCUCCCCUAUAUCUUAUUUUGUCACUCACCUGGAGGUCCCGUUCUGCUCUUCUCAGAAGGCUUUGGACUGUGCACUGCUCCACAGAGCUCCCUGAAGAAGCAUGCACAGCCACGUUUGGGGAACCAGUAUCAGGGACUCAUUAAGAGCAAUGUUGUUAACUGCACAGCUGUGUGCAGUGAUUUGUUUUCUGUCAGUGCGUUUUGGGAGGGGCUGGAAAGUAGGAAAACAGAGAGAAGCUCGGUUACAAAAAUCCAAAGGUAAAGCUCCCAAUUAAACACAUAGCAGUCAAGUUAAAAUUAUAGGUGACAAUUACUGUAACUUGAUUAGGCACAAUAGCAAAUUCGCUUCCCUAAAUCACUUUCACAACUCUCCUAGGAGGUCUGAAAGAUGUAGUAUAUGAGGUUCAUUUAAUUUCUAAUGUAGUAAUUAUCACUACUGAAUAAAAAAAAAAAAUAGCAGUGACAGACCCAGGAAAUAAAUUUAGCACUUGAGGUUUUAAUAAAAUUUUUAUGUGCAA